UUGACACCCCGCGUGGGUCUUCACGCCUUCCCGUGCAUCACUAUCUUCUUCACUACAACAUUUCCUUCUCUCCUUCACUUCCGUCUCCCAUUCACACAACACUUCCGUCUCUCCUUCACACAACCCUUCCCUCACCAUCUCUGUGCUUACUGCACAGAAAAUCGCAGCACCAUCUCCACCUCAUUCGCCACUCCGGUAAACCUUGCCACCACCUAAACACCACACUGGCACUCUCUCUCUCUCUCCUCUCCUCUCCCCCCCCUCUCGGCUUCUUCCUUGACAGACAGAAGCACAUAAGGAAUGACGGUGGGGGAACUGCCGUUCUCUGGCGAGGCAACCACCAGCUUUAUUCCUCUCGUCACCACGGACUCCCAUUACUUUUUGCUUUUUGGAAACCAAAAUCGACGCGGUGAAGUGACGAGCUCCGUCGCGGCCUAACUUCCCCGGUGAGAUUUUCCGUCGAAUCUAGUAUAGUUUCAAUUCGGGAGAAAUUCCCCAGAUUUCCGGUGAGGCCCGCGAGUUUCAGGCUGAUUUUAGGCUAUCACCGGCCGCCGAAUGGCCGUGAGGAAGCUGCAGGGAAUGGCGCGUGGAGCUGUGCGUGGUGCACAGAUGCCUUCACCGAAGGAUGAGUGGCUGAAAGGAAGAAUAUACGUUUGAAAUCAUUACCUUGUUUUUUUUCUUUAAUUUAUAAUGUUGAUUACUUGGUUCAGUCUGAUCUGUUAAGAAGAGAAACUAUGAGCAAUAUUUUCCUCUAUUCCGAUCUGGUGUUUUCAAAUGUUUGUUUCAGGUUGUAAUGUGUUACGAUGUUAUUUUUAAUUUUUUUUUUCUUUU